UUCUCACACUUCUGUUAACAGUCACCAUCAUCUUAAAGUCCACUUUUCCAUGCUUGCAUGGGUCAGACCAAAUUUCUUGAGGCAGUUUUUCUACAACCAAAUGCCCUUCCUGUUGCCAACCCUUACUUUUUUCCAAGUAAGGUAAUAUCUCCCCAU